UACGUAGGGGGCAAGCGUUGUCCGGAUUUAUUGGGCGUAAAGAGCGUGUAGGCGGCUGGGUAGGUCCGUUGUGAAAACUCGAGGCUCAACCUCGAGACGCCGAUGGAAACCCUCCAGCUAGAGUCCGGAAGAGGAGAGUGGAAUUCCUGGUGUAGCGGUGAAAUGCGCAGAUAUCAGGAAGAACACCCGUGGCUAAGGCGGCUCUCUGGACCGUAACUGACGCUGAGGCGCGAAAGCGUGGGGAGCAAACAGG
rnacentral:rRNA from 1 species